AUUGAACGCUGGCGGCAUGCCUUACACAUGCAAGUCGAACGGUAACAGGUUAAGCUGACGAGUGGCGAACGGGUGAGUAAUGUAUCGGAACGUGCCCAGUCGUGGGGGAUAACUACUCGAAAGAGUGGCUAAUACCGCAUACGACCUGAGGGUGAAAGCGGGGGACCGUAAUUCCUCGCGCGAUUGGAGCGGCCGAUCUCAGAUUAGCUAGUGGGUGGGGUAAAAGCCCACCAAGGCGACGAUCUGUAGCUGGUCUGAGAGGACGACCAGCCGCACUGGGACGGGGACACGGCCCAGACUCCUACGGAAGGCAGAGGUGGGGAAUUUUGGACAUUGGACGCAAGUCUGAUCCAGACAUGCCGCGUGCGGGAAGAAGGCCUUCGGGUUGUAAACCGCUUUUGUCAGGGAAGAAGCGAGUUUCUCUAAUACAGAGACUUAAUGACGGUACCUGAAGAAUAAGCACCGGCUAACUACGUGCCAGCCGCCGCCGUAAGAC
rnacentral:rRNA from 1 species